rnacentral:sRNA from 1 species
CCCAAGGCUUACGCCAUUGGGCUGAAAUAUAACGGACUUUCAGUCCU